rnacentral:rRNA from 1 species
GUACACUCCUACGGGAGGCAGCAGUGGGGAAUUUUGGACAAUGGGCGAAAGCCUGAUCCAGCAAUGCCGCGUGAGUGAAGAAGGCCUUCGGGUUGUAAAGCUCUUUUGUCAGGGAAGAAACGGUGAAAGCUAAUAUCUUUUGCUAAUGACGGUACCUGAAGAAUAAGCACCGGCUAACUACGUGCCAGCAGCUGCGGUAAUACGUAGGGUGCAAGCGUUAAUCGGAAUUACUGGGCGUAAAGCGUGCGCAGGCGGUUUUGUAAGUCUGAUGUGAAAUCCCCGGGCUCAACCUGGGAAUUGCAUUGGAGACUGCAAGGCUAGAAUCUGGCAGAGGGGGGUAGAAUUCCACGUGUAGCAGUGAAAUGCGUAGAUAUGUGGAGGAACACCGAUGGCGAAGGCAGCCCCCUGGGUCAAGAUUGACGCUCAUGCACGAAAGCGUGGGGAGCAAACAGGAUUAGAAACCCUGGUAGUCCC